AGGAACACCGUCCAGCAGCAUAAUGAAGGGUUGUUUUCAGAUUCCAACUUCAAGAACUUAAAUCUUCAUCCUUUCAUGAUUUCAAACUUGGAGGAACGAUUGAAGCUAAGUCAAGUGACCCAGGUACAGAAUGAAUCUAUACCAGCAAUUCUCAGUGGGCAAGAUGUUCUCAUCAAAUCACAAACAGGAACUGGUAACCAUAAUUUAUAUUUUACAAUAGUUAAAAACACUAUUUUUAAGUACAAUGUCCAAUAAACAACAAAGAAGGCAUGUCACGGACUGAAUCAGAAUAAUACAGUAGAAAGUGUAUUUUACAGUUGUCAGUAUGUAAUGAGAAUAUAUGGUAGUAAUACAAUUCUUAA